UUUGGGAGUUGGUAACCCCCGGGAAUUUUUUCCCCGGGGGGGGGGAUCGGAGGGAUCAUUACCGAGUUUACAACUCCCAAACCCAAUGUGAACGUUACCAAACUGUUGCCUCGGCGGGAUCUCUGCCCCGGGUGCGUCGCAGCCCCGGACCAAGGCGCCCGCCGGAGGACCAACCAAAACUCUUUUUGUAUACCCCCUCGCGGGUUUUUUUUAUAAUCUGAGCCUUCUCGGCGCCUCUCGUAGGCGUUUCGAAAAUGAAUCAAAACUUUCAACAACGGAUCUCUUGGUUCUGGCAUCGAUGAAGAACGCAGCGAAAUGCGAUAAGUAAUGUGAAUUGCAGAAUUCAGUGAAUCAUCGAAUCUUUGAACGCACAUUGCGCCCGCCAGUAUUCUGGCGGGCAUGCCUGUCCGAGCGUCAUUUCAACCCUCGAACCCCUCCGGGGGGUCGGCGUUGGGGAUCGGCCCUCCCUUAGCGGGCGGCCGUCUCCGAAAUACAGUGGCGGUCUCGCCGCAGCCUCUCCUGCGCAGUAGUUUGCACACUCGCAUCGGGAGCGCGGCGCGUCCACAGCCGUUAAACACCCAACUUCUGAAAUGUGACCUCGGAUCAGGGAGGAUACCCCCAUUU
rnacentral:rRNA from 1 species